UGGGGAAUAUUGGACAAUGGGGGCAACCCUGAUCCAGCCAUGCCGCGUGAGUGAUGAAGGCCUUAGGGUUGUAAAGCUCUUUCGCACGCGACGAUAAUGACGGUAGCGUGAGAAGAAGCCCCGGCUAACUUCGUGCCAGCAGCCGCGGUAAUACGAAGGGGGCUAGCGUUGUUCGGAAUCACUGGGCGUAAAGGGCGCGUAGGCGGCUGUUCAAGUCGGGGGUGAAAGCCUGUGGCUCAACCACAGAAUUGCCUUCGAUACUGGACGGCUCGAGACCGGAAGAGGUCAGUGGAACUGCGAGUGUAGAGGUGAAAUUCGUAGAUAUUCGCAAGAACACCAGUGGCGAAGGCGGCUGACUGGUCCGGUUCUGACGCUGAGGCGCGAAAGCGUGGGGAGCAAACA
rnacentral:rRNA from 1 species